UUAGUGGAUCUAUCAUGUAGUUGGAUCCCCGGUUUAGAACGAUCCCUGCUUGCUUUAUACUACGAUUGAUUUGUUGAGAGGGUUAAUUGAUGCGUGUGCAAAUACAUCUUAUUACUUGACUCUCCUAAACCCACCUAGGGCCACUAAGAUGCCACCAUGAUUCGCCAAGGGGUCGCCAUGACCCUCCUAGGCCCGUCUAGGGCUGCCAAGGGGCCGCCUUGACCUGUCUUGGCCCGUGUUGACCCGCUUAGGAUCGCCUUGACCCACCUUGAUUUGUCUUGACCCGCCUUGAAACAGCUAGGGCUGUUAUGACCUCCCUCGAGCUCGCCAUAACCUGCCUAAGGCCGCCAAGAGGCCACCUUGAACCGCCUCUGCCCGUCUUGGCCCGUCUUGACCCGCAUUAACCUGCCAUAGCCCGCUUUGGCUCGCCUUGGACCGUCUUGGGCCACUUGGACCCGCCUUGGGCCGCCUUGACCCGCCUUGGCUCGCUUUGGGCCGCCUUUACCCUCUUUGAACCGCCUUGACUCUCCUAAACCCACCUACGGCCACCAAGAGGCCGCCAUUAUUCACCAAAGGGUCGCUUUGACCCGCCUACAACCACCAAAGAGCUGCCUACGGCCGCCAUGGGAUACCUUGACCCGCCUUGGACCACCUUAACCUGCCUUGAUGUGCAUUGACUUGCCUUGACCCGCCUUGAGCCGCUUUGACCCGCCAUUGCCCGCUUUGACCCGCUUUGGCCCGCCUUGACUCGCCUUAGACCGCUUUGACCCGCCUUGGGCUGCAUUGAACCGCCUUGGACUGCCUUGGACCGUCUUUGCCAAGGGCCGCCUUGACUAGCCUUGAACCGCCAUUGGCCACCUAGUGCCACUAAGAAGCCGCCAUAACUCGCUAAGGCAUCGCCAUGUCCCUCCUAGGGCCGCCAAGGGACCGCCUUAACCCGCUUUGAUCCUCCUGGGCGCUUCUAGGCCGGCCAAGGGCAGCCAAGGGGGUCGCCAUGACAUGCUUAGGGCUGUUUUGACCUCCCGCUGGCCCGCCAUGACCCGCCUAGGGCCGCCAAAUGGCUGCUUACGUCUGCCAAGAGGCCACAUUGACCCGUUUUGGCCCGUCUUGCUCCACCUUAACUUGCCUUGGACCGCCUUGACCCUCCUUGCGCCACCAAGGGCCGUCUUGGCCUGCUUUGGGCAGCCUUUACCCACCUUGACCCUCCUAAACCCACCAAGGGCUACCAAGAGGCAGCCAUGAUUCGCCAAGGGGUCGCUAUGACCAUCCAAGGCCAGUCUGGGGCUGCCAAGGGGCCGCCUUGACCCGCCUUGACCUUCCUUGACCCGCCUUGACCCGUCUUGACCCGCCUAGGACAGCCUUGACCCGCCUUGACUUGUCUUGACCCGCCUUGGCUCGACUUGGGCCGUUUUGACCCCCUUUGCCUGCCUUGAUCCGCUUUGGCCCGAUUUAGAGCGUUAUGACCCGCCUUGGGCUGCAUUGACCUGUCUUGGACCGCCUUGACUCGCCUUGACAUGCCUUGGGCCGCCUUGACCCGCCUUUGGCCACCUAGUGCCACCCAGAAGCUGUCCUGACUCAUCAAUGCAUCGCCAUGACCCUCUUAGGCUCGUAUAAGGCCGCCAAGGAACCGCUUAACCCUCCUCGUCCCGGCUCGACCCUCCUCAGCCCUUCUAGGCCCAUCUAGGGCAGCCAAGAGGGCGCCAUGACCCACCUAGGGCCGUUAAGGGGCUGUCAUUACACGCCUUGACCCGUUUAAGGCUGCCAAGAGGCCGCCUUGACAUUCCUAGGACAGCCAAGGGGCCGCCUUGACAUGCCUAGGGGUGUUUUGACCUCCCUCAGGCCCGCCAUGACCCGCCUAGGCUUGUCUUGGGCCACCUUGACCCACCUUGACCCGCCUUAACCCACCUUGACCUACCUUGGACCGCUUUAUGCCACCUAGGACCGCCUUGACCCGCGUUGACCCGCCUAGGCUUGUCUUGGGCCACCUUGACCCACCUUGACCCGCCUUGGCCCGCCUUCACCCACCUUGACCAGCCUUUGACCGCCUUGACCCGCCUAGGGCCACCUUGACCCUCCUAGACUCGCUAAAGGCCACCAAGAAGCCGUAAUGACUCGUCAAGAGGCUGCCUUCACAUGCCUUGACCCACCUUGGCAUGCCUUUGGCCGCCUUGACCCGCUUUGGGCCGCCUUGACUCACCUAGGACCGCAUUGACCCGCUUUGGACCGCAUUGACCCGCCUAGGACCGCCUUGAUCCGCCAUGACUUGCCUUGACCCGCCUUUACUUGCUUUGGUCCGCCUUACACCUCUUUGACCUGCCUUGGGCCGCAUUGACCCUCCUUGGCCUGCAUCGACCCGCCUUGACCAUCCUCGGCUUUUCUAGGCCUACCUAGGGCAGCCAUGACCCACCUAGAGUCGCCAAGAGGUUGCCUUUAUACGCCUUCACCUGUUUAGGGCCGCCAAGGGGCCGCCAUGACACGCCUAGGGCUGCCAAGGGGCCGCCAUGACACGCCUAGGACAGCCAAGGGGUAGCCAUGACCCACGUAGAGCCGCCAAAGGGCUGCCUUUAUACGCCUUGACCAGUCUAGAGCCGCCAAGUGGGCCGCCUUGACCCAUCUAGGGCUGCCAAGGGGGCCGCCAUGACACUCUAAGGCCCGCCAAGGGGACGUUUUGACCCGCCAAGGGGCUGCCUUUACUCGCCUAGGUCUGUUUUGACCUCCCCAGGGCCCGCCUAGGGCCUCCAAGGGGCUGCCAUGACCCGCCUUGUGCCACCAAGAAGCCGCCAUGACCCUCCUAAACCCGUAUAGGGCCGCCAAGGGACCGCUUUAACCCUCCUUGACCCUCCUCGGCCCUUCUAUGCCUGCCUUGGACUGCCUUGACCCGGCUAGGACCGCCUUGACCUGCCUUGGACCACCUUGACUCACCUAGAACCGCCUUGAAUUUCCUUGGGCCGUUUUGACUCGCUUUUGCCCGCUUUGACUCGUUUUGGCCCGCCUUGGGCCGCAUUUACCUACCAGGAGGCCACCUUAACUCCUAGGAUCGCCAAGGGGGCCGCCUUGACACGGCUAGGGCUGUUUUGACCUCCCUCGGGCCCACCAUAACCUGCCUAGGGCCGCCAAUGGGCAGCAUACGUCCGCCAAGAGGCCACCUUGAACCGUCUCUGCCCGUCUUCGGCCGCCUUGACCUGCCUUGUGCUGUUAAGGGCCGCCAUGACCCGCCUUGGCCCGCUUUGGGCCGCCUUUACCUUCCUUGAACCUCCUUGACCCUCCUAAACCGACCUAUGGCCACCAAGAGGCUGCCACGAUUCGCCAAGGGGUCGCUAUGACCCGCCUAGGGGCGCCAAAGGGCUGCCUACGGCCUCCAUGGGGAUACCUUGACCCGUCUAGGCCACCAUGGGGCCGCCUUGACCCGCCUUGGCCUUCCUUAGACCGCCUUGACCCGCCUUGGCCUUCCUUAGACCGCCUUAACCCACCUUGACUCGUCGUAACCCGCCGUGACCCGCUUUGACCAGCCUUGGACCGCCUUGAUGUGCAUUGACUUGCCUUGACCCGCCUUGAGCUGCUUUGACUCGCCAUUGCCCGCUUUGACCCGUCUUAGACCGCUUUAACCCGUUUUGGGCCGCAUUGACCUGCGUUGGACUGCCUUGGCCCGCCUUUACCUGCCUUAGCCCGCCUUGACCCGCCUUAAACCACUAUUGGCCACCUAGUGUCACCAAGAAGCCGCCAUGACUCGCCAAGGCAUCGCCAUGUCCCUCUUAGGCCCGUAUAGGGCCGCCAACCGCCAAGGGACUGCCUUAACCCACCUUGAUCCUCUAGGGUCCUUCUAGGCCCACCUAGGGCAGCCAAAGGGGCGCCUUUACCUGCCUUGAUCCUUUUGGGCCCUUCAUGACCCACCUAGGGCCGCAAUGGGGCUGCCUUUACACGCCUUAACCCGUCUAGGGCCGCUAAGAGGCCACCAAGGGGGCCGCCUUGACACGCCUAGGGUUGUUUUGACCUCCUUCGGGCUCGCCAAAACCUGCCUAGGGCCGCCAAAAGGCUGCCUACGUCUGCCAAGAGGCCACCUUGACCCGCCUUGACCCACCUUGACCUGCCUUAGGCUGCCUUGACCCGCCUUGAUGUGAAUUUCUUUGGGCCGCCUUGACCCGCCUUUGCCCGCUUUGACUUGCUUUGGCCCGCCUUAGACUGCUUCGGCCCGCCUUGGGCCGCAUUGACCUGCCAAGAGGCCGCCUUGAUUUUCCUAAGACCGCCUUGACACGGCUAGGGCUGUUUUUGACCUCCCUCGGGCCCACCAUGACCCGCCUAGGGCCACUAAUGGGCUGCAUACGUCCGCCAAGGGGCCACCUUGACCCGUCUAGGGCCACCAAUGGGCUGCAUACGUCCUCUGUCGCGCUCGCCAUAACCCGUCUUAGGGCGCCUUAACCUGCCUUGAGCCGCCUUGGACCGCCUUGGACCGCCUUGACCCGCCUUGUGCCGCUAAGGGGCCGCCUUGACCCGCCUUAGCCCGCCUUUACCCUCCUUGAACCACCUUGACCCUCUUAAACCCACCUACGGCCACCAAGAGGCCACCAUGAUUCGCCAAGGGGUUGCUAUGACAUGCCUAGGGGCGCCAAAGGGUUGCCUACAGCCGCCAUGGGGAUACCUUGACCUGUCUAGGCCGCCAUGGGGCCGCCUUGACCUGCCUUGGACCGCCUUGGCCAUACUUGAACCGCCUUAACCCACCUUGACCCGCCAUGACCCACCAUGACCCGCUUUAACCCGCCUUGGACCGCCUUGAGCCGCUUUGACCCGCCUUAGACCGCUUUGACCCACUUUGGGCCACAUUGACCCGUGUUGGAAUACCUUGGCCCGCCUUUACAUGCCUUGGGCCGCCUUGAACCGCUAUUGGCCACCUACUGCCACCAAGAAGCAGCUAUGACUCGCCAAGGCAUUGCCAUGUCCCUCCUAGGCCCGUAUAGGGCCGCCAAGGGACCGCAAUGGGGUAGCCUUUACAUGCCUUGACCUGUCUAGGGCCGCCAAGAGGCCGCUUUGACAUUCUUAGGGCCACCAAGGGAGCCGCCUUGACACGCCUAGGGCUGUUUUGACCUCCCUCGGGCCCACCAUGACCCGCCUAGGGCUGCCUAUGUCUACCAAGAGGUCACCUUGACCCGCCUUGGCCCGUUUUGUGUCGCCUUGACCCACCUUGACGUGCCUUGGGCCGUCUUGACCCACCUUGGACCGCCAAGGGCUGCCUUGGCCCGCUUUGGGCAGCCUUUACCCGCCAUGAACUGCUUUGGCCCUCUUAAACCCACCUAGGACCAAGGGGUUGCCAUGACCUUCCUAGGCCCGUCUAGGGCUGCCAAGGGGCCGCCUUGACCCGCCUUAACCCGCCUUGGCCCGCGUUGACCCACCUUGGACCGCCUUGACCCCCUUAACUUGUCUUGACUCGCCUUGAAACGGCUAAGGCUGUUUUGACCUCCCUCGAGCCUGCCAUUACUCGUCUAGGGCCGCCAAUGGGCUGCCUAUGUCCGCCAAGAGGGCACCUUGAACCACCAAGGGGGGCCUUGACCCGCCUUUACCUGCCUAGGGCGGCCAAGCGGUCGUCUUGACCCGCCUUGACACGUAUUGGCCCACAUUGACCCUCCUAGGGCCUCCAAAAGGCCGCCUUGACCCGUUUAAGGCCACCAAGGGUCCGCCUUGACCCCGCUAGGGCCGCCAAGGGGCCGUGUUCACCCGUCUAAGGCCUCCAAGGGCCACCUUGACCCGCCAAGGGGCUCCCUUGACCCUUCUUAACACGCCCAGGGCCGCCUUGACCUUCUUAGGUUGUCCUAGGCUCUCCUAGGGCCAACAAGAGGUCGCCAUGACUCGCCAAGGGGUCGCCAUGACCCUCCUAGUCCUGUCUAGGGCUGCCUUGACCCUUUUAGAACCUCCUAGGCUUGCUUAGGGUAGCCAACGGGUCGCCUUGACCUGCUUAGGACCGCCAAUUGGCCGCUUUGAUCAGCCUUGGGCUGUCUUGGGCCGCCUUGGACCACCCUGACCUGCCUGAACCCGUCAUGGGCCGCCUUAACCUCAUAGGGUCGCCAAUAAGGCACCUUAACCCAUUUAGGGCCCCGAAGGGGCCUCCAAAAAUGCUACCUUGACUUGCCUAGGGCCGCCAAACGGCCGCCUUACUCGUCCUGACCCUCAUAAGGGGCCACCUUAACCCUCUUAGGGCCGCCAUGACCCGCCAAGGAGCCACUUUGACCCGUCUUGACCCGCCUUGACUGCCUUGACAGCCUUGACAUGCCAACGGGCAGCUUUGACCCGCCUUAACCGCAACCGCUGUGACCCACCUUGACAAGUCAAGUGGCCGCUUUGACCCGCCUUGUCAUGCCAAGGGACGGCCUUAACCCGCUUUGAUAUGCCAAGGGACCGCCUAGACCUACUUAGGCCGCUUUGACCUGCCUUGGGCUGCCUUGACCCUCAUAAGGCCUCCAAUAAGGCGCAUUGACCCAUCAAGGGCCACCAAGAGGCCGCCUUAACCCUACUAGGGCCGUCAUGAUCCGCCUUAACCCUACUAGGGCCGCCAUGAUCCGCCUAUGGCUGCCAAGGACCGCCUUGACCCUCCUAGGGCCACCUUGACCCGCCAAGGGGCCACUUUGACCCACCUUGACCCGCCUUGACUGCCUUUACCGGCCUUGACAUGCCCUGACUGCCUUGACCCACCCUGACUGCCUUGACCCGGCUUAACUACCUUUACCCGCCUUAACCGCUUUGACCCACCUUGACAAGCCAAUGGGCCGCUUUGACCCGCCUUGACAUGCCAAGGGACCGCCUUGACCCGCUUUGACAUGCUAAGGGGCUUCUUUGACCCGCCUUCACCUGCCAACGGACCGCCUAGAUCCACUUAGGCCGCUUUAACCCGCCUUGGGCCGCCUUGACCUUUAUAAUGCCGCCAAUAGAGCCCCUUGACCCAUCAAGGGCCACCAAGAGGCCGCCGAGGGGCCGCCUUAACCCUUCUAGGGCCACCAUGACUCGCCUAAGGCUGCAAAGGGACCGCCUUGACCCUCCCAGGCCUUGACCCGCCAAGGGGCCACGUUGACCCGCCUUGACCCGCCCUGACUGCCUUUACCCGCCUUGACAUGCCCUGACUGCCUUGACCCGCCCUGACUGCCUUGACCAGCCCUGACUUCCUUGACCCGCCCUAACUACCUUGACCCGCCUUAACCGCUUUAACCCACCUUGACAAGUCAAGGGGCCGCUUUAACCCGCCUUGACAUGUUAAGGACCGCCUUGACCCCCUUUGACAUGCUAAAGGGCCGCUUUGACCUGCCUUCACCUGCCAAGGGACCGCCUUGGCCCUCCUAGACCCAUGUAGGGACCUCCUACACCCGCUUAGGUGUAGCUUAGACCUGCCAAAACCCGUCUAAGGCCGCUAGUGGACUGCCUUAACCUGCCAAGGGACCGCCAUGACCCGCUAAGCGACCGCUUUGAUCCGCCUUGGGCCGCCUUGACCCUCAUAAAGCCGCCAAUAGGGCGCCUUGACCCAUCAAGGGCCACCAAGGGGCAGCCUUGACCAAGCUAGGGCCGCCUUAACCUGCCAAGGGACCGCCUUGACCCGCUAAGGGGCCGUUUUGACCCGCCUUAACUGCCUUGACCCGCCUUGACAUGCCAAGGGGCAACUUUGACCUGCCUUAACCGCUUUGACCCACCUUGACAAACCAAGGGGCCGCUUUGACCCGCUUUUGACAUGCCAAUGGACCGCCUUGACCCGCUUUGACUUGCUAAAGGGCCGCUUUGACCCGCCUUCACCUGCCAAAGGGACCGCCUUGGUCCUCCUAGACCCACGUAGGGACCACUUAGACCCACUUAAGGUCACCAAAGGGGCACCUAGCCCCGCUUCGGUGUAGCCUAGACCUGUCAAAACCCGUCUAUGGCCGCUAAUGGACUGCCUUGACCCGCCGGGGGCCACCAGGGGCCGUUUUGACCCGCCAAGGGGCUUCUUUGAUCCUUCUUGACCUACCAAUGGACAGCCUUGGCCCUCCUACACCCACGUAGGGACCACCUAAACCCACUUAAGGUCGCCAAAGGGGCCCCUAGACCUGCUUAGAUGUAGCCUAGACCUCCUAAGGUUGCUGCCAAGACCUGCCUAGGGUCGCUAGUGGACUGCCUUGACCCGUCGAGGGACGCCAAGGGGAUGAUUUGACCUGCCUUAGCACAUUAAAGGGCCGCUUUGACCCGCCUUGACCUGCCAAGGGGCCGCUUUAACCCACCUUGACCUGUCAAGGGAUCGCCAUGACAUGCCAAGGGGCCGCUUUGACCCACCUUAACCUGCCAAGGAACCGCCUUGACCCUCCUAGACCCACGUAGGGACCACCAAUACCCACUUGAGGUCACCAAGGGGCGCCCUGACUCGCCUAGGGUCAUCAAGACCUGCCUAGACCCGCUUAGAACCCGCGUAGGGACCGCCUAGACCCGUUUAGGUUUAGCCUAGACCUCGCCAAGGGACGGCCGAGAACUGCCUAGGGUAGUUAGUGGGCUACCUUGACCCGCUAAGGGCCCCCAAGGUGCCGUUUUGACCCGCCUUGACCUGCCAAGGGACCUCCUUGACCCGUCUUACAUGUCAAUGGGCCACUUUGACCCGCCUUGACCUGCCAAUGGACCGCUUUGACCCGCCUUGGGCCACCUUCACCCACCUUAGAUAGCCUUGGGCCGCUUUGACCCGCCUUGACUCUCCUAGACCCGCCAAAGGGUUGCCUAGGGCCGCCAUGGGGCUGCCUUGAUCCAUCUUGGCCCGGCUUGACCCGCCUUAGCCCUCCUUGACUUGCCUUAGACCACCUUUGACAGGACCCACCCCGAAUUUCACCCUGAAACCCGAAGUAAAUCCUGCGGGGACCACCUCCAAGGAAAGUUUACCGAAAAAUUCGACAGAACCUCCCUUGAAAAUGGACAACCCUUCCUAAUAAAACCUGCAAACACUUCUGAAAAUUUAAAUCCAACCAUAAACUCCUGGAGCCUUCGUGCUCCCCAAAUCACAACAUCUCCCAAUUUAAUUUCUAACUUAAACAAGAAAAUCUCAUAGCCAACAGCCACAGUUCAGAGCAACUCUAUUUGAAAGGAAAUGAACUAGAAAUAUAAAAAUGAGCGGAAGCUACACUAUUGACUAUGCCUCUUCUCCAUAUACGUCCGACCUCAACUAUGCAAUCCUGCAAACUGGGCAUUUUUAAAACGAAGAGCCCAGGGGAAAACAUUUGAAAACGAAACGUUAGAGUGAGUGGACAAAAAUAAAUUAACGAAUAAAAUAUCUAAUGUUUCCCCAAAUCAAUUUCCAAGGAAAAUCGAAUACAUGCUGCAAGCGAUAAAACUUUUAUCUCAUAAAUAUCGAGUCUCUCAGGCUCUAUAAUAUAUGUAUGUAUUUACACACGUCCAUACUCCCUAUAUAAAUUCAUGGGUCUAUAUAGGGCUACUACGCUCGCGUCCAACGCUCACGUCACGCCUUAAUGCGGUGCUACACUACGCCAUUAAGGUGGACAGACGGGUGUAUAAAUAUGUGCCCAUACCCCCUAUAUGAAUUAAACACUCAUGUAGGGCUNNNNNNNNNNNNNNNNNNNNAUUUUUCGGUAACUCUCCAAGAGAAAUAAAAGCGUCAAAAUUAAAUGACGUCAAAACUCCAACAAUUUUAAAUGCUCAACCAAAACCAUAGCAUGCAUAUUAUUUAAAAUAAAAGUCCACUCACAGAAUGAGGCCUAAGCCUUCCAAUGCUCGGAAUACUCCUCGAGCGCCGCCUCCAACUAAUCACACUCUCUAGCCAAUCCCACGUCUGACGAUAAACAGAAGAAUAAAUUGGUCAGACCGGACUCCAAUAAUCAUUAACGAUUCGACUUCUUCCUAGUUUGACUAGGUUUACUGAGUUGACCAGGAUUGACCAAGUUUGACCAAUUGAUUUAUGAUUAGCCAACUAACGAAGCCUCAACAAUUUCCAUUUUAACCUUCGACUUAACAAAUCGGGUUACCUUGAUUACUCUACCAUCCAAUUUAAUUCCAACAACCAUCUUAAUAAUUCAAUUACAAUUGAUUCUUCAUCCAAACAAUCCUCAAUCACUCUCUCUCUAUACAACUUCACACCAUAAAUCACUAAGGGCACCCAAAAUGGGUUUCCAUAAAUAGAAAGUUUUCAAAAAAGGGAAAGUUUCCCCAAAAUAGGAACUUUCCUCACUUAGAAAGAUUUCCGAUUAUAAACCGACAAACUUUCCUAUUUAUGAAACAACGCAAAACAAAAAGGAAAACUUCAAUAACUACCUCAACUGCUCUUGUCGGACUAACUGCCUUCGUCGGAUUCCGACGACUUGUCGGAAUAUUCUGCCGGAUUCCGGCCACUUGCCGGAAAAUUGGCCAUAGUCUCCCUGCAUCUUCUAAUCUCCAAGUUAUCGACAAUCAUGCAGAAAAUAAACGAUUCAAACACCAACCAACCGAAACCACACAACAACAACAACACCAAAGAUCAAGACUUACCACUCACCUUGCUAUAAUCCUCGCCGAAACCAUGUUCACUGACAGCCCAAAACCGCAGUCAUGAUCGGAGGACACUCAAUCAAACACCCAAAACCACUAGCCUCCUUCCGAAACAGUAACAACUUCCUCCAAACUUCUUCCAAAGUGCGUCGGGGCUCCCACCAACCACAACUAGGUUCGCCUGAGCUCGACGGACACACUGAAAUUCAAGAACAAAAAGCCCUUGUUGGAGACCGAACUUCAAACCCAGAAAACCAGAGAAAGGGGGAAAAUCUGAUUAGGGCUCUAUAUUUGGAAAUCGAAGCUCAAGGAAGACCGAAAAACUAGAGGAAGUGAUGAGCAUACCUUCACGAAGCACAAGCUCACCGGAAAAGAAAAGAUUCGGCCGGAAUUUGGGUUUUGGGGAUUUAGGGUUCUUGUUUCGAUCGAACGGGAUAGAUGAUGCCUGGCAAGUUGAUGGGUAGCAGUAGAGAGAGGAGAGAGAGACAAGUCGAUUGGGGGUGGUAGCUCGACCAGCGACGGCCGGACGACGGCGCUCCGACGUGGAGAAGAGAGAGAGAGAAGAGAAAGUCGGGAGGGAGGAGAGAGAGAAGAGAGAAUAGGGUUUGGGUCUUUUUUUUUUUUUCCAAACCGGUUCCUACCCAAACCAAAUAUAAACCGAACUCCAAAAAAUAAAACACCCCGAAAAAUAAUACCCGAAUAAAAAUUACCUUUUACUAGCUAAAAUUUACCAUUUUUACCGUCGUCAUAUUUUCCUCCUACAAAUAAUCCUCCGAGCAUAACUGUCCCCGAAACCCCUCUAGGGACCAAUUAAACUAUAACUUCAAUGACGGAGACGGUAAAAUUCUUAUUAUAACCAAGCUAGUAAAUAAGGUAAAAAUUUACGGGUCAGGAUGUGACAACCUUGGCCCGCCUUGACCCUCCUUAGACCCGUCUUGGCCCGCCAUGACACGCCUUGAACCACCUUGGGCCGCCUUGACCUUCCUAGACCUGCCUAGGGCCGCCUUGACCCCCCUUGACCCACUUUGACCCGCCUUUACCCGUCUUGGCCCGCCUUGAACCACCUAGGGCCGCCUUGACCCUCCUAAACCCGCCUAGGGGUACCAAGAAGCGUACAUGACUCCCCAUGACUCGCCUAGGCCCGUCAAGGGGCUGCCUUUACAUGCCUUGACCCUCCUAGACCCGUCUAGGGCCGCCUUAACCCGCCUUGGCCCGCCUUGACCCUCCUCGGCCCUUCUAGGAUCACCUAUGGCUGCCAAGGGGGAGCCAUGAUCCACUUAGAGCUACCAAGGGGCUGCCUUUACACCUCUUGACCAGUCUAGGGCCGCCAAAGGGACCGCCUUAACACGCCUAGGGCUGCCAAGGGGACGUUUUGACCUGUCUAGGGCCGCCAAGGGGGCUGCCUUUACACGCCUAGGGUUGUUUUGACCUCCCUAGAGCUUGCCAUGACCAGCCUAUGGCCGCCAAGGGGCUGCCUUGGGCCGCCAUGGGGCCACCUUGACCCAUCUUGGCCGCCUUGACCCGCCUUAGUCUGCCUUGGCCGGCCUUGAUCCGCCUUGGUCCGCCUUGAUCCGCUUUGGGCCGCCAUAACCUGCCUUGACCAGUCUUUGACCCGCCAUGACCUGCCUUGACCCUUCUUUAACCGCAUUAUGGUGUGACGUGACCGUUAGACGCAAGCGUAGUAGCCCUAUAUGAGUGUUUAAUUCAUAUAGGGGGCAUGUGAACAUAUUUAUACACUCGUCUGUCCACCUUAAUAGCGUAAUGUAUCACCGCAUUAAGGCGUGACGUGAGCGUUAGACGCAAGCGUAGUAGCCCUGUAUGAAUUUAUAUUUUUCAUAAGGAUUCAUACAAGGAGUAUGGACGUGUGUAAAUACAUACAUAUGUUUAUAUAUAUUUUUGAGCUUGAGAGGCUCGAUAUUUUAUGAGUUGAAAGUUUUAUCGCUUGGGGCAUGCAUUCGCUUUUCUUUGAAAAUUUAAUUUGGGAAAGCAUAAAGAUAUUUAUUGCUCGUUUCUUUUAAAUUUACUUUUGUCCACUCACUCUAACGGUUUUGAAUGUUUUCCUCUGAACCAUUCAUUUUAAAAAUGCCUAGUUUGCAGGAUUUCAUAGUUGAGGUCGGGCGUACAUGGAGACAAGACAUAGUCAAUAGUAUAACUUCCGCUCAUAUAUAUAUAUAUUUUUAGUUCAUUUCUCCUUUAAUAGAGUUGCUCUGAAUCUGUGAUUGUUGGUUGUGAGUUUUUCUUAUUAAAGUUGCUAAAUAAAUUGGGAGAUGUUGUGAUUUGGGGAGCACGAAGGCUCCAGGAGUAGAGGGUUAUAGAUGGAUUCUUUUAAAGUGAACGCAUGUAUUAUUAGGAAGGGUUGUCCAUUUUCAAGGGAGCUUAUUUCAAAUUUUCGGUAAAUUUUCCUUGGAGGUGGUCCCCGCAGGAUUUACUUCGGGUUUCAAGGUGAAAUUCGGGGUGGGUCUUGACACCUAGGGCCACCAAGAAGUUGCCAUGAUUCGCCAUGACUCGCCUAGGCCCGUCAAAAGACUGCCUUUACACGCCUUGACCGUCCUAGGCCCGCCUAGGGCCACCAAUUGACCCGUCUAGGGCCGCCAAGGGCCACCUUAACCAGCCUUAGGCCGUCUUGACCCAUCUUGGCUUGCCUUGGCCCUCCUCGGCCCUUCUAGGACCACCUAUGGCUGCCAAGGGGGAGCCAUGAGCCACCUAGAGCCACCAAGCGGCUGCCUUUACACACCUAGGUCUGUUUUGACCUCCCUAGGGCCUUUCAUGACCCGCCUAGGGCCGCCAAGGGGCUGCCUACAGACGCCUUGGGGUUACCUUGACCCGUCUAGGGCCGCCCAGACUCACUUUGGCCUGUUUUGGGCCGCUUUGACCCUCCUUUACUCGCCUUGGACCGCCUUUACCCGCCUUGGACCGCCUUAACCCGCCUUGGACCGCCUUGACCCGCCUUAGACUGCCUUGACCCGCCAUGGGCCGUCUUGACCCGCCUUGAACCGCCUUAGGCCGCCUUGACCCUCCUAGACCCGCCUAGGGCCGCCUUGACCGCCUUGAGCGUUGAGCCGCCUUGACCAAUCUUGGGCCGCCUUUACACGCCUUGAACCGCCUUGACCCUCCUAGACCCGCCUAGGGCCGGCUUGACCCUCCUAGACCCGUCAAGAGGCCGCCUAGGGCCACCAUGGGGCCACCUUGACCCGCCUUGGCCCUGCCUUGACCCGCUUUGGCCUGCCUUGACCCUCCUAGACCCGCCUAGGGCCACCAAGAAGUCGUCAUGACUUGCCAUGACCCGUCAAGGGGCUGCCUUUACGACCAUCCUAGGCCCGCCUGUUAGGGUUGUACGUGGCUCAAAACUGAUUCCUUGUCUGUUUUGGAGUUUUUACUUCUGAAGGUCUGAAGGCUUUGGGUAAGUUAUUCUAGUGUGUCUAGGAUUCUUAGAGUUUAUCCUUAGAAGUAAUGGUUUAGGAUCCCUGUUAUGGUUCUAAAUCUUAUUGUAAGUCAGACUAGUUGAGAGUCUAUAAAUAGGACCUUAGAGACAUAGUUUUAGGUGUGGAUCAAUUGAGAGUUUAGAGAUUCAAGAGUUGCAAGCUUUGAAAGUUUGGGUGAUUUAAGAGUGUUCUCUGCUGAGAAUCUAGAGUGUGAGGAGAGAGGUUAUUUGAGGGUGAAGAACCGUAUUGUUCUUCAGUUGUAAUCUUCUUCUUGUUUAGUGGAUCCACCAUCACCAUCACCGGAAGACGUAGGUCAACUGUUUUGACCGAACAUCGUUAAUAUCUUGUGUUCGCUUGCAUUGAUUUUGGUUAUUGUCUUCAUUCAGUUAUGAUCUUGGGCUAAGGAAUUCAGAGGGUGACCCAUCUAGGGACGCCCUGACCCGCUUUGGCCCGUCUUGGGCCGCCUUGAACCGCCUAGGGCCACCAAGAACCGCCAUGACCCUCCUAGGCUCGUGUUGGGCCGCCAAGAGACCGCCUUAACCCGUCUUGACCCGCCUUGACCCGUCUUGACCAUCCUAAGCCCACCUAGGGUAGCCAAAGGGCUGCCUUUACACUCCUUGACCCGUCUAGGGCCGCCAAGAGGCCGGCCGCCUUGACACUCCUAGGGCCGCUAAGGGGACGUCUUGACCCGCCAAGGGCUGCCUUUACACGCUUAGGGCUGUUUUGACCUCCCUAGGGCCCGCCAUGACUCGCCUAGGGCCUCCGCCUUGGGGUCACCUUGACCUCCAAAGGGCACGCCUUUACCCGCCUUGACUAGCCUUGGGCUGCCUUUACACGCCUUGACCCUCGUAGGCCCGCCUAGGGCCACCUUGACCCGUGUACGGCCGUCAAGGGCCGCCUUAACCCUCCUUGACCUGCCUAGGGCUACCAAGGGGGACGCCUAGACACACCUAGGUUCACCAACGGGACGUCUUAACCUACCAAGGGGCUGCGUUUACACGCCUAGGUCUGUUUUGACCUCCUUAGGGCCCACCAUGACCCGCCUAGGGCCACCAAGGGGCUGCCUACGGCCGCCAUGGGGCUACCUUGACCCGUCUAGGGCCGCCUUUACCUACCUUGGCCCAUCUUGGGCCGCUUUAACCCGCCUUUAACCCGUAUUUACCCGCCCUGGACCGCCUUUACCCGCCUUGGGCCACCUUUACCCUUUUAGGGCCGCCUUGAUCCUCUUAGGGCCGCCUUGACCCUCCUAGGGCAGCCUUGACCCACCUUGACCCGUCUAGGGACGUGCCUUGACCUGCCUUGGCCCACCUUGACCCGCCUUAACCCUCCUAGACCCCACCUAGGGCCACCAAGAAGCCGCCAUGANNNNNNNNNNNNNNNNNNNNCCUUGACCCGCCUUAACCUGCCUUGACUUGCCUUAGGGCGCCUAGACCCGCGCUUGACCGCCUUGACCCACCUUGACUUGCCUUGACCCUCCUAGACCUGCCUAGGGCCACCAAGAAGCCGCCACGACUCGCCAUGACCCGUCAAGGGGUUGCAUUUACACGCCUUGACCCUCCUAGGCCCGCCUAAGGCCACCUUGACCAGUGUACGGCCGACAAGGGCCGCCUUAACCCGCCUUAGGCCGGCUGGACCCGUCUUAACCCUCUUUGACCCGCUUAGGGCCGCCAAAGGGGACGCCUUGACACGCCUAGGGUCGCCAAAGGGAUGUCUUGACCUGCCAAGGGGCUGCCUUUACACGCCUAGGUCUGUUUUAACCUCCUUAGGGCCCGCCAUGACACGCCUAGGGCCACCAAGGGGCUGCCUACGGCCGCCAUGGGGCUACCUUGACCCGUUUAGGGCCGCCUUGACCCCCUUUUGCCCGUCUUGGGCCGCUUUGACCCAUCUUGGCCCGCCUUGGACCUGCCUUGACCCGCCUUGGACUUGCCUUGACCCGCCUUGGGCCACCUUGACCCUCUUAAGGCCGCCAAGGGGUUGGGUUCACUCGCCUAAGGCCGCUAAGGGGACGUCUUGACCCGCCAAGGGGCUGCCUUUACACACCUAGGGCUAUUUUAACCUACCUAGGGCCUGCCAUGACCCGCCUAGGGCCACCUUGACCUUGUUAGGCCAGCCUAGGGCAGCCGAGAGGGCGCCAAGACCCACCUUGGGUCGUCAAGAGGCCACCUUGACCCGUCUAAGGACCAGCCUUGACCUGCCUGGGCCCACCUUGUCCCGCCUUGGGCCACCUUGACCCUUCUUAGACCACCGAAAAGCCUCCUUAAAUCGCUAAGGGGGCCGCCUUAACACACCAAGGGCCGCCAAGGGGACGUCUUGACCUGCCAAGGGGUUGUCUAUACACGCCAAGGUCUGUUUUGACCUCUCUAGGGCAGCCUUGACCCACCUAGGGCCACCAAAAAGCCGCCAUCAGUCGCCAUGACCCUCCUAGGCUCGUUUAGGGCAGCCAAGGAGCCGCCUUCACCCUCCUAGGCCCACCUAGGGCAGCCAAAGGGCGCCUUGACUUGCCUUGGACCGCCUUGGAACGCCUUGGGUCGCCUUAGCCCGCUUUUGACCGCCUUGACCCACCUUGACUUGCCUUAGGCCGCCUAGACCCGCGUUUGACCGCCAUGACUUGCCUUGACCCUCCUAGGGCCACCACCAAGGGGCUGCCUUUACACGCCAAGGUUUGUUUUGACCUCUCUAGGGCCCGCCUUGAUCCGCUUUAACCCUCAUAGACCCACCUAGGGCCACAAGAAAGCCGCCAUGACUCGCCAAGGGGUCGCCAUGACCCUCCUAGGCCCGUCUAGGGCAUCCAAGGUGCCAUCUUGACCCGCCUUGACCCCUCUCGACUCUUCUAGGCCCACCUAGGGCAGCCAAGGGGCGGCCAAGGGGUGCCUUGACCCGCCUUGGACUGCUUUAACCAGCCUUGGAACGUCUUGGGCCGUCUUUGACCGCCUUGGGCCGCCUUGACCUGUAUUGGGCCGCCAUGACCAGCCUUGACCCACCUCUGAUUGCCUUGACCCGCGUUGACUUGCCUUGGGCCGCCAUGACCCGCCUUGAACCGCCUUGGGCCACCUUAACCUUUCCUUGACCCGCCUUGGGCUGCCUUCACCCGCCUUUACCCGCCAUAGGCAGCCUUGACCCGCCAAGGGGCCGCCUAGGGCCGCCUUGACCCGCCUUAACCUGCCUAUGGCCACCAAGGGGCGCCUUGACCCGGCUAGGGCCGCCUUCACCAGGUUAGGGCCGCCUUGACCCUUUUAGGGCCGUCUUGACCCGCCUUUACCCGCCUUGACAUGCCUUCACCAGGUUAGGGCCGCCUUUACCCGUCUAGAGCCGCCUUUACCCAUAUUCGCCCGCCUUGACCCUCCUAAGGCAGCCAAGAGUCCACCUUGACCCCGCUAGGGCCGCCAAGGGGCUGCGUUCACCCAUCCAAGGCCACCAAGGGGCUGCCUUGACCUUGCUAGGACCGCUAAGCUAAGGGGCCGCGUUCACUCAUCUAAGGCCGCCAAGGGGCUGCCAUGACCCUCCUAGACCCGCGUAGGGCCGCCUUGACCCUCCUAGGCCCUCCUUGGCUCACCUAGGCCCACCAAGGGGCCGCCAUGACUCACCAAGGGGUCGCCAUGACCCUCUUAGGCCUGUGUAGGGCCGUCAAGCGGCCGCCUUGACCCCGUUAGGGCCGCCAAAGGGUUACGUUCACUCGUCUAAGGCGGCCCCGCCAAAGGGCUGCCUUAAUGUAACAUCCUGGAAUUUCAGUUUUCUAUUUUUAAAAGGAAAAUUAUUUAAGAACUAUUUUUAUUUCGAUUUCUUUAUCCAUUCAAAUUCUUUGUAGCUUUCGAAAAUUAUUCAAAUUUUUUAGUUUGUCGAAAAUUUUCUUUCGAGCCCAUAAGAUUAAACUAGACGUCGUUACGAGUUCGUAGGAUUUUUUCGGAGCAUCGUUUGGACUUCGAAGCUAUUUUUAAUGAUUUUUGGAAGUUGGUAUUAUCCAAAAUUUUAAUUAAAAAUAGAAUAUUUGUUGGCAUGAUCUGGGUCGUCAGAUCUUUUUAACCGUCUAAUCUAGGCCGUUGGAUUGGAGUAUAUAUAAUUUGGAUUAGCUUGGACUGCAACAUAACACAGCUCAGACCGACUUCGGUCUCGAGCUGCUCUGCAGCAACGGAGCUCGGAGGCAUCGUUCGUCAUCCGGCCAUCUCUCGGCGCAAGACCGGCGUCCUUAGGUCCGUCUCGUCGUCCCCAACCUCCUUGUGAUUCUAGCUUGAAGAGUGGAGCUCCGGUGAGAGAGAAAAGGAGGAGAGAAGGCAAUUGUGUUUCGGAUCGGGUUUUCGAUUCCGGCAGCGAGCGUGAAUGGUAGUGGAAGCUUCCUCUCGUCCUUGUGGUCUUCCCUAUGUCCUCAGUUUCUUCAGAAGAGGUCGGGAGAGAGAGAUUCGAAGUGGAGAAGGAAAGACUGGGUUCACCGGCGAGUUAUCGAUUCUGGCCAAGUCGUGAUCUCUCACCAGUGUGAAUAGCUUUGUCUCCUUAUCCUCGACGUCCAUGUAACUUCAGCUUGUCGAGACGAGGUCAGGUGAGGGAGAAUCGAAGAGAAGAAGUUUUGGGAUUUUCCGGCAAGGGUUCGAUGUUUUCCGGCCAUCGGCGAAGGCAAGCGAGGUAUCAAUCUUCAUCUACUCGUCAAGCUUUACAUGUUUCUAUAAUUGGAAUUGAGUUUGGUUGAGGUUUGGAGGAAGUUGGGUUUUAGGCAGUGGAGGACUGCCGUAUGUGCCGCUGUGCACGGCGGCGAUGGCGGUGGUUUUGGAAGUUGGUUUCCGGCUUUAUUAGUGUAUUGAAUUGGUUUGAGUGAUUGCAAAUGCUUGAAUUUGAGAAUUGGAGGAGUUGAUGAUCGGAACUCGGAAGGUAUUGUUUUAGUUGGAAGGUGUAGAACAAUAGCCACUGUUAUUGUUGUUAUUAUUGCUGUUAUUGCUGUUAAUGUCCAAACGCCAUUCUUAGUGUGUUUGAUAAAGAGAUGAUGGAACAUAAAUUGUGGAAGUUAGAAGAAAGAUGUUGAAUUGUAUUGUUGAAGUGAUCGGUCAUGAACUAGUAGGUUGGCUUGUUGGUUAUGGAAGUUGUCGUAUAUAUAGACAUAUUCAUUGUGAAUUGUGAAGUGCAGGAGGUUUAGUAUGUUAGUUUCUUAAGUAAAAAGAAAUUAAUGUAUUAGACUUGAAGAAGAAUGUGUGAUCAGGACACUUGAGAGGAAAUGCAGAUUAAGGCUUUGGGUGUCCAUAGCAAUUUGAAGGAUGGAAUGGAAGAAUUGAACACUUGUUUUUGGGUGUCUAUAAUUUCAUAAUUAGACUAUGAAGGUCAAUGGAAUCGAAGGAUGAUGGUUUUGGGUGUACAAAGUAAUUUCAGAAAUUUGGAUAGAAAUGGGUGCAAUUGGAAUAUGACGACGCACUUGGGUGUCCUUAGUAAAUUUCCGAAUUAGAUCAAGCUGAUGUGAAGUGACCUGUCAACAUUCUCGGAAUGAAGAUUGAGUAUGAGGAUUGAAUGCGAGGAGCUGGAUUGCAGAAGUAGAAGAAUAAGGAUUUUAGAAGUGUGUCGCCGAGUUACUAAUUUUAGCUAGCGUCAAAAGUAGCUCUCGGAUUCUAGGUAGGGUCUCUCUCUCUCAGGGAACCUCUUUUUAAAUUGAUAAUUAGGUUAUUAUUGAAAUCGGUGCAUUGUGUGGCAUUGGUUGAUAUAACUCUUGAAUGUUGAAUGUUAUUGUUUUCGUUUAAAGCAUGUGUAAUCGUUGAUUUAUAUAAUUAAUGUUGUCGCUUUUCGUAAAAGCAUGAUUUAGAUGUUAUUUUACGAGUAAUGAUAUUUAGUUGACAUGCAUAAUGCAUUGUGAGGAAACGUGAGAAUGGUGAGAAAUGUGAUUUUGGAGAGGAGAAUGAAAUUGAUAAAAUAGAUAUAUUUUGUGUAGUUGAGUUUCCUCAUGGGUUGUCCUCGGGAUCUAUGAUUAGCCCACAUGUGCACAAACACAGGGAAAGUAUGCCCUUUCAAUGGCUGACAUCGAUAAAACAAUCUUAUCGGGUUGCGGAUCGGGAGACCAUGAGUAUAACAAAAUGACUAACAAAAGAGGUACAGGUGGUGAGAUAUUACUGAUUGUUAGAUCAUAUAUUUGAGACAUUUGAGUCACCCCCGGUUGGUAAAAUACACGGUAUGGGACGUGUAGACAUGUCUUUGAUGUAUGGACUGAUAGCCAGUAAUUGAGGAAGACAUUCAUUAAUAUAUAUGCAUCGAAUUGUCGUUAUAUUUAUUUUUAAAAUAUUAUUUGACAUUGCUUGAUAACUUGUUUGUGCGACCUAGUUAAGUCUAACUUUAAAAAGGUUUAGCCGUACUGAGCGUAAUCUCACCCCUAUAGAUUUUGUUCAGGUUUGUACAAGGCAUGCCACGUCUUUCGAGAAGUCUAAUAGUACGUUUAGUUAAGGUGUACGAGAGUCUGGAAGAGCUAGACCAAGAGACUUAUUUUGUUUUGUCUUUGUAAAUUGUUUUUGUUAUUGUAAACGUUUUCUUUUAUUUUAUUUCGGGAAAAGCAUUUGAAAUUGUUUUUGUUUAUUUUACUUUUCCCGCUCACGCCUUGGGUUCGGCGUCAGGUGCUUGGAAACCACUGACACGGGGUCCGGGGUGUGACACUUAACCCUCCUAGACCCUCCAAGACCCCUCUAGGGCCUCCUUGACCCGCCUUAACCCGCCUUGGGCCACAUUCACCCGCCUUGGGCCGCCUAGACCCAUCUAGGGCCACCGAGGGGCACCUUGACCUAGCUAGGGCCGCCAAGGGGACGACAUGACCCUCCUAGGGCCGCUUUGACCAGCCUUGGGCCGCCUUUACCAGCCUUGACUUGCCUAGGGCCACCAAGCGGCCGCCUUGACCCGCCUUGUCCCACCUUGGCCUGCCUUGACCCAACUUGGACUUGCCUAGGGCCGCCAAGCGGCUGCCUAGAGCCGCCAUGGGGCUGCCUUAACCCACCUUGGCUCGCCUUCACCUGCCUUGGGCCGCCUUAGACCCGCCUUGGGCCGUCUUGACCUGUCUUGGCCCGCCAUGACACUCCUUGAACCACGUUGGGCCGUCUUGACCCUCCUACAUCCGCCUAGGGGCGCCUUGACCCUACUAGAACCACAUAGGGCCGCCUUGACCCGUCUUGGCCCGCCUUGACCUGCGUUGAACCACCUAGGGCCGCCUUGACCCUCCUAGACCAGUCUUGGGCCACCAAGAGCCGGCAUGACUCACAAUGACUCACCUAGGCCCGUUAAGGGGCUGCCUUUACACACCUUGACCCACCUUGGCCCGCCUUAGGCCGUCUUGACCCGUCUUGGCCCGCCUUGACUCUCCUCGACCCUUCUAGGACCACCUAUGGCUGCCAAGGGGGAGCCAUGACCCACCUAGAGCCACCAAGGGGCUGCCUUUACACGCCUUGACCUGUCUAGGGCCGCCAUAACACGCCUAGGACUGCCAAGAGGAUGUCAUGACCCGCCAAGGGGCUGCCUUUACACGCCUAGGUAUGUUUUGACCUCCCUAAGCCCGCCAUGACCUAGCUAGGGCCGCCAUAGGGCUACCUUGACCCGUCUUGGGCCGCUUUAACCCAGCUUGAUCCGCCUUGGGCCGCCUUGACCGCCCUUGAGCCGCCUUGAGCAGCCUUGACCCUCCUAGACCCACUUUGACCUACCUUGAACUGCCUAGGGACACUAAGAAGCCGCCAUGACCCUCCUAGGCCCAUCUUGGGCCGCCAAGGGACCGCCUUAACCCACCAUGGCCCGCCUUGACCAUCCUCAACCCUUCUAGGCCCACCUAGGGCAGCCAAGGGGCUGCCUUUACACACCUUGACCCGUCUAGGGCCGCCAAGAGGCCGCCUUGACAUUCAUAGGGCCGCCAAAGGGGCCGGCUUAACACGCCUAGGGCCGCCAAUAGGACGUCUUGACCAGCCAAGGGUUGCCUUUACACGCCCAGGGUUGUUUUGACCUCUAUAGGGCCCUUCAUGACUCGCUUAGGGCCUCCAAGGGGCUGCCUGCAUCCGCCAUGGGGUCACCUUGACCUUUCUAGGGCCCGCCUUUACCCGCCUUAACCUGCCUUGGCCCGCCAUGACCCUCCUUGAACCACCUUGGGCCGCCUUUACACGCCUUGAACCGCUUGGCCCACCUUGACCCGCCUUGACUCAUCUUGACCCGCUUGGGCCUCCUUGACCCUCCUAGGGCCACCAAGAAGCCAGCAUGACUCGCCAUGACCCGUCAAGGGGCUACCUUUACACGCCUUGACCCUCCUAUGCCCGCCUAGGGCCACCAAGGGGGACGUCUCGACACGCCUAGGGUCGCCAAGGGGACGUCUUGACUUGCCAAGGGGCUGCCUUUACACGCCUAGGUCUGUUUUGACCUCCCUAGGGCCCGCUAUGACCCGCAUAAGGCCGCGAAAGGGCUACCUACGUCUGCCAAAGGGCCACCUUGACUUGCCUUGGCCCGUCUUGGGCCGCCUUGACACCCGUCUCGGCCUUGCUAGGCCCACCUAGGGUAGCCAAGGGGGCGCCAAGACCCACCUAGGGCCGCCAAGGGGCCUUCUUGACCCGUCUAAGGACCAGCCUUGACUUGCCUUGGCCCGUCUUGACCCACUUUGGGCCGCCUUGACUCACCUUGACCCUCUUAGACCUACCUAAGGCCACCAAGAAGCCGCUAUGACUCGCCAAGGGGGCUGCCUUGACACACCAAGGGCCGCCAAGGGGACGUCUUGACCUGCCAAAGGGCUGCCUUUACACUCCAAGGUCUGUUUUGACCUCCCUAGGGCCCACCAAGACCCGCCUAGGGCCGCAAAGGGGCUGCUAAUGGCCGCCUUGGCCUUCUUUGACCCUCCAAGACCCGCCUAGGGCCACCUUGACCCUCCUAGACUCACCUAGGGCGACCAAGAAGCCGCAAUGACUCGUCAAGGGGCUGCCUUCACACUCCUUGACCUACCUUGGCCUGCCUUAGGCCGCCUUGACCCGCUUUGGACCGCCUUCACCCGCCUAGGACCGCCUUGACCUUCCUUGACCCGCCUUUCCCCACCUUUACCCUCCUUAGACCGCUUUGACCCGCCUUGUGCCGCAUUGACCCUCCUUGGCCCGCAUUAACCCACCUUUAUCAUCCUUGACCAUCCUCGGCUUUUCUAGGGCAGCCAAGGGGUAGCCAUAACCCACCUAGAGCCGCCAAGAGGCUGCCUUUAUACGCCUUGACCCGUUUAGGGCCGCCAUGACACGCCUAGGGUAGCCAAGGGGUAGCCAUGACCCACCUAGAGCUGCCAAAAGGCUGCCUUUAUAAGCCUUGACCCGUCUAGGGCCACCAAGUGGGUCGCCUCGACCCACCUAGGGCCACCAAAGGGGCCGCCUUGACACGCUUAGGGCCGCUAAGGGGACGUUUUGACCCGCCAAGGAGCUGCCUUUACUCUCCUAGGUCUGUUUUGACCUCCCUAGGGCCCGCCUAGGGCCGCCAAGGGGCUGCCAUGACCUGCCUAAUGCCACUAAGAAGCCGCCAUGACUCGCCAAGGCAUCGCCAUGACCCUCCUAGACCCGUAUAGGGCCGGCAAGGGACCGCCUUAACCCUCCUCGGCCCUUCUAAGCCCGUCUUGACCCGCCUUGACCUGCCUUGACCCGCCUUGGACCGCCUUGAAUUGCCUUGGGCCUCUUUGACCCGCCUUGACUCGCUUUGGCCCGCCUUGGGCCACAUUGACCAGCCAAGAGGCCGCCUUAACUUCCUAGGACCGCCAAGGGGGCCGCCUUGACACGGCUAGGGCUGUUUUGACCUCCCACAGGCCCACCAUGAUCCGCCUAGGGCCGCCAAUGGGUUGCAUACGUCUGCCAAGAGGACACCUUGAACCGCCUCUGCCCAUCUUGGGCCGCCUUGGCCCGUCUUGACCCGCCUUGUGCCGCUAAGGGCCGCCUUGACCCGCUUUGGCUCGCUUUGGGCCGCCUUUACCCUCUUUGAACCGCCUUAACCCUCCUAAACCCACCUACGGCCACAUGGAGGCCGCCAUGAUUCACCAAGGGGUUGCUAUGAUCCGCCUAGGAGCGCUAAAAGGCUGCCUACAGCCACCAUGGGGAUACCUUGACCAGUCUAGGCUGCCAUGGGCCCGCCUUGACCCGCCUUAACCCGCCUUGGCCUUUCUUGGACCGCCUUGACCCACCUUGACCUGCCAUGACCUGCUUUGACCCGUCGUGACCUGCUUUGACCCGUCGUGACCUGCUUUGGCCCGCCUUGGACCGUCUUGACCCGCCUUAGACCGCUUUGACCCGCUUUGGGCAGCAUUGACCCACGUUGGACUGCCUUGGCCCGCCUUUACCUGCCUUGGGCCGCCUUGAACCGCCAUUGGCCAUCUAGUGACACCAAGAAGCCGCCAUGACUCGCCAAGGCAUCGCCAUGUCCCUCCUAGGCCCGUAUAGCCCUGCCAAGGGACCGCCUUAACCUGCCUUGAUCCUCUUGGGCUCUUCUAGGCCUACCUAGGGCAACCAAAGAGGUGCCAUGACCCACCUAGGGCUGCAAUGGGGCUGCCUUUAAAUGCCUUGACCCGUCUAGGGUCGCCAAGAGGCCGCCAAUAGGCCGUUUUGACAUUCCUAGGGCCGCCAAGGGGGCCGCCUUGACACACCUAGGGUUGUUUUGACCUCCCUCGGGCCCGCCAUGAUCCGCCUAGGGCCUUCAAAGGACUGCCUACAUCUACCAGGAGGCCACCUUGACCCUCCUUGACAUGUCUUGUGCCGUCUUGACCCACCUUGACCUGCCUUGGGCCGCCUUGACCCACCUUGGACCGCCAAGGGCCGCCUUGAACUGCCUUGACCUGCCUUUGGACAACCUUUACCCGCCUUGACCCUCCCACCUUCGGCCACCAAGAGGCCGCCAUGAUUCGCCAAGGGGUCGCUAUGACCCGCCUAUGGCAGCCACAGAGCUGCCUACGGCCACCAUGGGGAUACCUUGACCCGUCUAAGCCGCCAUGGGGCUACCUUGACCUGCCUUGGACCGCCUUGACCCGCCUUGACCCGCCUUGGCCUUCCUUGGGCCUCCUUGACCCGCCUUGAGCCGCUUUGACCUGCCAUUGCCCACUUUGACCCGUUGUGGCCCACCUUGACCCGCCUUAGACCGCUUUGACCCGCCUUGGGCUGCAUUGAACCGCCAUGGACUGUCUUGGCCCGUCUUUACAUGCCUUGACUCACCUUAAACGGCCAUUGGCCACCUAGUGCCACCAAGAAGCCGCCAUAACUCGCCAAGGCAUCGCCAUGUCCCUCCUAGGCCCGUAUAAGGCCGCCAAGGGACCCCCUUCACCCGCCUUGAUCCUCCUCGGCCCUUCUAGGCCCACCUAAGGCAGCUAAGGGGGCGCCAUGACCCACGUAGGGCCGCCAUGGGGCUGCCUUUACACGCCAUGAUCCUUCUAGGACCGCCAAGAGGCCGUCUUGACAUUCCUAGGGCCGCCAAGAGGGUCGCCUUAACACUCCUAAGGCUGUUUUGACCUCCCUUGGGCCCACCAUGACCCGCCUAGGGCCGCCAAAGGGCUGCCUACGUCUGCCAAGAAGCCACCAUGCCCCGCCUUGGCCCAUCUUGGGCCGCCUUGACCCGCCUUGACCUGCCUUGGCCUGCCUUGGACCGUCUUGACCCGCCUUGGGCUGCCAAGGGCCGUCUUAGCCUGCUUUGGGCAGCCUUUACCCGUCUUGAACCGCCUUGGACCACCUUGACCCUCCUAAACCCACCAAGGGCCAAGAGGCCGCCAUGAUUCGCCAAGGGGUCGCCAUGACCCUCCAAGGCCCAUCUAGGGCAGUCAAGGCCGCUUUGACCCGCCUUGACCUGCCUUGACACGCCUUGGACCGUUUUGACGUCUAGGACCGCGUUGACCCACCUUGACUUGACUUAACCCGCCUUGGCCCGACUUGAGCCACUUUGAGCCCCCUUUUGCCCGCCUUGACCCACUUUGGCCCGAUUUAGACCACUAUGACCCACCUAGGACCGCGAAGGGGCUACCAUUACACGCCUUGACCCGUCUAAGGCUGCCAAGAGGCCGCCUUAACAUUCCUAGGGGUGUUUUGACAUUCCUUGGGCCCGCCAUGACUCGCCUAGGGCCGCCAAGGGGCUGCCUACUUCUGCCAGGAGGCCACCUUGACCCGCCUUGGCCCGUCUUGGGCCGCCUUGACCCACCUUGACAUGUCUUGGCCCGCUUUGUGCCGCCUAGGACCGCGUUGACCCGCCUUAACCCGCCUUGACUCGCCUUUGACCGCCUUGACCCUCUUUGACCCACCUUGGGCCGUUUUGACCCACCUUUGCCCGCCUUGACCCGCUUUGGCCCGAUUUAGACCGCUAUGACCUGCCUUGGGUCCUAUUGACCUGCCUACCUGCCUUGACCCGCCUAGGACCACCUAUGCCCACCUUGACCCGAUUUAGACCGCUAUGACCUGCCUUGGGCCGCAUUAACCCGCUUUGACCUGCCUUGGGCCGUCUUGACCCGCCUUGACCUUUCUCGGUCCUUCUAGGACCACCUAGGGCAGCCAAGGGGGUGCCAUGACCCACCUAGGGUCGCCUUUAUACGCCUUGACUCGUCUAAGGCCGCCAAGAGGCCGCCUUGACAUUCGUAGGGCCGCCUUGACAUUCCUAGGGCUGCCAAAGGGCCGCCUUGACAUGCCUAAGGGUGUUUUGACCUCCCUCGGGCCUGCCAUGACCAGUCUAGAGCCGCCAAAGGGCUGCCUACGUCUGCCAAGAGGCCAUCUUGACUCGCCUUGGCCUGUCUUAGGCCGCCUUGACCCACCUUGACAUGCCUUGGACCGCCUUGACCGGCCUAGACCCUCCUAGGCUCGCCUAGGGUAGCCAAGGGGCCGCCUUGACCUACCUAGGGCCACCAAGCGGCCGCCUUAUCCCGCCUUGGGCCGCCUUGACCCUCUUAGGGCCGCCAAGAGGCCGCAUUGACCCCACGAGGGCCGACAAGGGGCCGCGUUCACCCGUCUAAGGCCACCAAGGCCGCCUUGACCCGCCAAGGGGCUACCUUGACCCUCGUUGACCCGCUUAGGGCCUCCUUGACCCUCCUAGGUCGUCCUAGGCUCGCCUAGGGCUAACAAGGGGCCGCCAUGACUCGCUAAGCGGUCGCUAUGACCCUCCUAGGCCCGUCUAGGGCCGCCUUGACCCUUAUAGGGUCGCCAAUAGGGCACCCUGACCCAUUUAGGGCCCCGAAGGGGCCGCCAAAGAUGCUGCCUUGACUUGCCUAGGGUUGUCAAGCGGCCGCCUUGACCCUUCUUGACCCUCAUAAAGGGCCACCUUAAGCCUCAUAAGGCCGCCAUGACCCGCAUAGGGCCGCCAAGAGACCGCCUUGACCCUUAUAGGGCCGCCAUGACCCGCCAAGAGGUCGUUUUGACCCGUCUUGACCCGCCUUAACUGCCUUGACCGCCUUGACGUGCUAAGGGGCAACUUGGACCCGCCAUAACCGCUGUGACCCACCUUGACAAGUCAAGGGGCCGCUUUGACCCUCCUUGUCAUGCCAAGGGACCGCCUUGAACCGCUUUGACAUGCUAAGGAGCCGCUUUGACCCACCUUCACCUGCCAAGGGACCGCCUAGACCCACUUAGGCCGCUUUGGGCCGCCUUGACCCUCAUAAGGCCGCCAAUAGGGCGUCUUGACCCAUCAAGGGCCGCCAAGGGGCCGCCUUAACCCUUCUAGGACCACCAUGACCCGCCUAGGGCUGCCAAGGGACCUCUUUGACCCGCCAAGGGGCCACUUUGACCCGCCCUGACUGUCUUUACCCUCCUUGACAUGCCCUGACUGCCUUGACCCACCUUGACUUCCUUGAUCCGCCCUAACUACCUUGACCCGCCUUAACCUCUUUGACCCACCUUAACAAGCCAACGGGCCGUUUGACCCGCCUUGACCCCCUUUGACAUGCUAAGGAGCUGCUUUGACCCGCCUUCACCUGCCAAGGGACCGCCUCGGCCCUCCUAGACCCACAUAGGGACCUCCUACACCCGCUUAGGUGUAGCCUAGACCCGCCAAAACCCACCUAGGGCCGCUAGUGGACUGCCAUGACCCACCAAGNNNNN
rnacentral:lncRNA from 1 species